rnacentral:rRNA from 1 species
CGAACGCUGAAGCCUGGUGCUUGCACCGGGUGGAUGAGUGGCGAACGGAUGAGUAACACGUGAGUAACCUGCCCCUGACUUCGGGAUAAGCCCGGGAAACUGGGUCUAAUACCGGAUACGACUGCCGGACGCAUGUCUGGUGGUGGAAAGUUUUUUCGGUUGGGGAUGGGCUCGCGGCCUAUCAGUUUGUUGGUGAGGUAAUGGCUCACCAAGACGACGACGGGUAGCCGGCCUGAGAGGGCGACCGGCCACACUGGGACUGAGACACGGCCCAGACUCCUACGGGAGGCAGCAGUGGGGAAUAUUGCACAAUGGGGGAAACCCUGAUGCAGCGACGCAGCGUGCGGGAUGACGGCCUUCGGGUUGUAAACCGCUUUCAGCAGGGAAGAAGCGCAAGUGACGGUACCUGCAGAAGAAGUACCGGCUAACUACGUGCCAGCAGCCGCGGUAAUACGUAGGGUACGAGCGUUGUCCGGAAUUAUUGGGCGUAAAGAGCUCGUAGGUGGUUGGUCACGUCUGCUGUGGAAACGCAACGCUUAACGUUGCGCGUGCAGUGGGUACGGGCUGACUAGAGUGCAGUAGGGGAGUCUGGAAUUCCUGGUGUAGCGGUGAAAUGCGCAGAUAUCAGGAGGAACACCGGUGGCGAAGGCGGGACUCUGGGCUGUAACUGACACUGAGGAGCGAAAGCAUGGGGAGCGAACAGGAUUAGAUACCCUGGUAGUCCAUGCCGUAAACGUUGGGCACUAGGUGUGGGGGGCAUUCCACGUUCUCCGCGCCGUAGCUAACGCAUUAAGUGCCCCGCCUGGGGAGUACGGUCGCAAGGCUAAAACUCAAAGGAAU